AGAACGAGCGCUGGCGGCAUGCCUAAUACAUGCAAGUCGAACGAACUCUUCGGAGUUAGUGGCGCACGGGUGCGUAACGCGUGGGAAUCUGCCCCUUGGUUCGGAAUAACAGUUGGAAACGACUGCUAAUACCGGAUGAUGACGAAAGUCCAAAGAUUUAUCGCCAAGGGAUGAGCCCGCGUAGGAUUAGCUAGUUGGUGAGGUAAAGGCUCACCAAGGCAACGAUCCUUAGCUGGUCUGAGAGGAUGAUCAGCCACACUGGGACUGAGACACGGCCCAGACU
rnacentral:rRNA from 1 species